GUACAAACCUGGACGGAGUCGAUCGGUAAAUAGAAGGUCUGCUGAAUUGGAUAAGCGACUUCCAUUGCACUUAGGAAGGGAGCUUGCCUAAGGUCUACUUAAGUAGGAGAGCUUACGUCAUAAUUGUGAUAGUUGGGGCUUGCGUUCAAGCGGCCCUCGU
rnacentral:snRNA from 1 species